GGUUACUGCUAUCGGUGUUCGCCUAAGCCAUGCGAGUCAUAUGUAGCAAUACAUGGCGUACUGCUCAGUAACACGUGGAUAACCUGCCCUUGGGUCCGGCAUAACCCCGGGAAACUGGGGAUAAUUGCGGAUAACGCAUAUAUGCUGGAAUGCUUUCUGCGUAAAAUGGAUUCGUCUGCCCAAGGAUGGGUCUGCGGCCCAUCAGGUAGUAGUGGGUGUAAUGUACCUACUAGCCUACGACGGGUACGGGUUGUGAGAGCAAGAGCCCGGAGAUGGAUUCUGAGACAUGAAUCCAGGCCCUACGGGGCGCAGCAGGCGCGAAAACUUUACAAUGCGGGAAACCGUGAUAAGGGGACACCGAGUGCCAGCAUCCUAUGCUGGCUGUCCGGGUGUGUAAAAUACACCUGUUAGCAAGGGCCGGGCAAGACCGGUGCCAGCCGCCGCGGUAACACCGGCGGCCCGAGUGGUGAUCGUGAUUAUUGGGUCUAAAGGGUCCGUAGCCGGUUUGGUCAGUCCUCCGGGAAAUCUGACAGCUCAACUGUUAGGCUUUCGGAGGAUACUGCCAGACUUGGAACCGGGAGAGGUAAGAGGUACUACAGGGGUAGGAGUGAAAUCUUGUAAUCCCUGUGGGACCACCUGUGGCGAAGGCGUCUUACCAGAACGGGUUCGACGGUGAGGGACGAAAGCUGGGGGCACGAACCGGAUUAGAUACCCGGGUAGUCCCAGCCGU
rnacentral:rRNA from 1 species